GUGCCAGCAGCUGCGGUAAUACGGAGGGUGCGAGCGUUAAUCGGAAUUACUGGGCGUAAAGCGCAUGCAGGUGGUUUGUUAAGUCAGAUGUGAAAGCCCGGGGCUCAACCUCGGAAUUGCAUUUGAAACUGGCAGGCUAGAGUACUGUAGAGGGGGUAGAAUUUCAGGUGUAGCGGUGAAAUGCGUAGAGAUCUGAAGGAAUACCGGUGGCGAAGGCCGGCCCCCUGGACAGAUACUGACACUCAGAUGCGAAAGCGUGGGA
rnacentral:rRNA from 1 species